rnacentral:tRNA from 1 species
AGCGGCGCUGGUAGGGCGGGCGGCGACCCGCCGCGGUGCGGGCGGCGGCCGUUUCCGGGCGGUGGCUGCGCAGUUCGGCCACGGCGUGCCGGCGC